rnacentral:sRNA from 1 species
GCGAGUAAAAUGCCCUGCGUGUGAGAAGCAGGCUCAGAUUAUUGCUACUCUGUAUUCAGAUCUGCAUGUGUUUCUUCUAAGCUGAAUAAAGCUGUUUUGGAACUGUCAGGUACCUCAAAGGAAUGUGCUGUAAAGAAGAGUUGUCAAUUGUGCACAGAAGAUAAGAAAUAUAUGAUGAAUAGAUAAUUGAAAAGAGAUCUUCCAGAAAGAGCAGAAGGAAGUUUCUUCAAUGGCUUCCUUCAGGAUUUUAAUCAUCCUUACAGCCUCUUUGAGAAUGAUUGAACUUCCAAAUUCCCUAAAGUUAAAAUUUUAAAUUCUAUUAAACAUUUUUUCGAGUA